rnacentral:rRNA from 1 species
UACGUAGGUGACCAGCGUUGUCCGGAUUUACUGGGCGUAAAGAGCGCGCAGGCGGUCGUUCAAGUCGAGUGUGAAAGCCCCCGGCUCAACUGGGGAGGGUCACUUGAUACUGAUCGACUCGAAGGCAGGAGAGGGAAGCGGAAUUCCCGGUGUAGUGGUGAAAUGCGCAGAUAUCGGGAGGAACACCAGUAGCGAAGGCGACACUCUGGGCCGGUACUGACGCUGAGGAGCGAAAGCGUGGGGAGCAAACAGG